rnacentral:misc_RNA from 1 species
AACGCACCUUGCGCCCUUUGGUAUUCCGAAGGGCAUGCCUGUUUGAGUGUCAUUAAAUUCUCAACCUCCCCUUCUUUCAUUAGGAGUGCGGCGGAUUGGAUAUGGGGGUUUGCUGGUUUCUAACGAGAUCAGCUCCUCUGAAAUGCAUUAGCAGAAACCGUUUGACUUUGGCUGCUAGGCUGUGAUAAUAUCUACGCCUUGUAGUUAGGUCGGAAUACGAGUCAUAUAGUGGUAACUAAUCAGGCUUUUGGGUCUGGCUUAGAAUCGGUUUGGAAGGUGCUUAACGGCUCCUUCUGCUUUCUCCCUUUGCGGAGAUACUUGUCCGAUUCUAAGAGAGGAGUUGCUUAGCGCGAGCUUAGCUUUCCUUGAUAUUUCCCUUUGACUUUGUAGAAGGAUUCAGCUUCUAACCGUCCAUUGACUUGGACAAUUUAUUGACUAUUUGACCUCAAAUCAGGUAGGACUACCCGCUGAACUUAA